CAGCCGCCGCGGUAAUACGUAGGUGGCAAGCGUUGUCCGGAUUUAUUGGGCGUAAAGCGAGCGCAGGCGGUCAAUUAAGUCUGAUGUGAAAGCCCCCGGCUCAACCGGGGAGGGUCAUUGGAAACUGGUUGACUUGAGUGCAGAAGAGGAGAGUGGAAUCCCAUGUGUAGCGGUGAAGUGCGUAGAGAUGUGGAGGAACACCAGUGGCGAAGGCGACUCUCUGGUCUGUAACUGACGCUGAGGAGCGAAAGCGUGGGGAGCGAACAAGAUUAGAUACCCCGGUAGUCCCUGUCUCUUAUAC
rnacentral:rRNA from 1 species